rnacentral:tRNA from 1 species
GGACCCGUGUCCGAGUGGUCGAUGGAGUCUGGUUCAGGUCCAGAUGACGAGAGUCUUCCAGGGUUCGAAUCCCUGCGGGUCCA